GAUGAAGAAUGUAGCGAAAUGCGAUACGUAAUGUGAAUUGCAGAUUUCAGUGAAUCAUCGAAUCUUUGAACGCACAUUGCGCCCGCCAGUAUUCUGGCGGGCAUGCCUGUUCGAGCGUCAUUUCAACCAUCAAGCCUUCGCUUGUGUUGGGGCCCCGCGGCUGCCGCGGCCCCCUAAAUCCAGUGGCGGGCUCGUCGUCGUACCGAGCGCAGUAGACAUCCUCGCUCCGGGAACCCGACGGGUGCCGGCCGUGAAACCCCCCCCAUCAAGGUUGACCUCGGAUCAGGUAGGAAUACCCGCUGAACUUAAGCAUAUCAAUAAGCGGAGGA
rnacentral:misc_RNA from 1 species